rnacentral:rRNA from 1 species
ACUCAAAUGAAUUGACGGGGGUCUAUACAAGUGGUGGAACAUGUGGUUUAAUGCGAUAAUACGCGCCAUACCUUACCAGUUCUUGACAUACAAAAAGGGUUUUGUAAAAAACCUUUAAAUUUUUGUACAGGUGUUGCAUGGCUGUCGUCAGCUCGUGUUGUGAGAUGUUUGGUUAAGUCCCUUAACGAGCGCAACCUCUAUUUGCUGUUGUACAUAAAUAACUGCAAAAACUGCUUAUUAUACAUAGGAGGAAGGUGGAGAUGACGUCAAGUCCUUAUGGCCCUUAUGAACUGGGCUACACACAUGUUACAAUGGGAAAAACAAAAUGUUACAAUGUUUAAACAGAGUCAAUCAUUAACCUUUCCCUCAGUUCGGAUUGAAAGCUGCAACUUGCUUUCAUAAAGAUGGAAUCACUAGUAAUCGUGGAUCAGGAUGCCACGGUGAAUUUGUACCUGGACCUUGCACACACCGCCCGU